UAUGGCCAUAUCAUGUCGAAACAUUGGUUCCUGUAUGAUCACUGAAGUUAAGCAACAUUGAGCUUGGCCAGUAGCUAGAUGGGUGACCGCUUGGGAAUAUCAGGUACUA